ACUCCUACGGGAGGCAGCAGUGGGGAAUAUUGCACAAUGGGCGCAAGCCUGAUGCAGCAACGCCGCGUGAGGGACGACGGCCUUCGGGUUGUAAACCUCUUUUAGUAGGGAAGAAGCGAAAGUGACGGUACCUGCAGAAAAAGCACCGGCUAACUACGUGCCAGCAGCCGCGGUAAUACGUAGGGUGCAAGCGUUAUCCGGAAUUAUUGGGCGUAAAGAGCUCGUAGGCGGUUUGUCGCGUCUGCUGUGAAAACUGGAGGCUCAACCUCCAGCCUGCAGUGGGUACGGGCAGACUAGAGUGCGGUAGGGGAGAUUGGAAUUCCUGGUGUAGCGGUGGAAUGCGCAGAUAUCAGGAGGAACACCAAUGGCGAAGGCAGAUCUCUGGGCCGUAACUGACGCUGAGGAGCGAAAGCAUGGGGAGCGAACAGGAUUAGAUACCCUGGUAGUCCAUGCCGUAAACGUUGGGAACUAGAUGUAGGGACCAUUCCACGGUUUCUGUGUCGCAGCUAACGCAUUAAGUUCCCCGCCUGGGGAGUACGGCCGCAAGGCUAAAACUCAAAGGAAUUGACGGGGGCCCGCACAAGCGGCGGAGCAUGCGGAUUAAUUCGAUGCAACGCGAAGAACCUUACCAAGGCUUGACAUAUACCGGAAAUGGCUGGAAACAGUCCCCCCGCAAGGUCGGUAUACAGGUGGUGCAUGGUUGUCGUCGGCUCGUGUCGUGAGAUGUUGGGUUAAGUCCCGCAACGAGCGCAACCCUCGUUCUAUGUUGCCAGCACGUAAUGGUGGGAACUCAUAGGAGACUGCCGGGGUCAACUCGGA
rnacentral:rRNA from 1 species